GACGAACGCUGGCGGCGUGCCUAAUACAUGCAAGUCGAACGCAGUGGGGACGGGUGAGUAACACGUGGGUAACCUCCCAUCAGAGGGGAUAACACUUGGAAACAGGUGCCAUACCGAUACUGAUGGAUGGACCCGCGUUGCAUUAGAUAUCUGGUGAGGGAACGGCUCACCAAGGCCACGAUGCAUAACCGACCUGAGAGGAUGAUCGGCCACACUGGGACUGAGACACGGCCCAGACUCCUACGGGAGGCAGCAGUGGGGAAUAUUCGGCAAUGGGCGAAAGUCUGACAGAGCCAUGCCGCGUGAGUGAAGAAGGUCUUCGGAUCGUAAAGCACUGUUAUUAGGGAAGCGGUAUCUAACCAAAAAGCCACGGCUAACUACGUGCCAGCAGCCGCGGUAAUAC
rnacentral:rRNA from 1 species